UUGACCUCAAAUCGGGUGAGACUACCCGCUGAACUUAAGCAUAUCAAUAAGCGGAGGAAAAGAAACUAACAAGGAUUCCCCUAGUAACUGCGAGUGAAGCGGGAAAAGCUCAAAUUUAAAAUCUGGCGGUCUUUGGCCGUCCGAGUUGUAAUUUAGAGAAGCGUCUUCCGCGCCGGACCGUGCACAAGUCUCCUGGGAAUGGAGCGU
rnacentral:rRNA from 1 species